UCCUGCUGCAGGUCUGUGUUCAGCCCUGCGAUCUCCACCUGACGGGGCCCAGGAGAUUCUCAGUGAGGGAGAGGAGACCCCGGAGUCACAAGCACCUCUUCGGCAAAGCCCACCUCCCUCUCUCGCUUGAUUCCCCGGCCAUCCUUAUCAAAGACCUUCCAGGUGAACAGGCAGCCAUCCUCAGCAGCAGUCAGCAGGAACUGAUCAUCAAAGAAACUUGCAAAAAUAGCACAGAGAGAGUGGACUUCUGGAAUGGCACGGCAACAAAAUUCCCUACGGCAGCACCCAAAGGCUUGAAAUUAGCCAUUCCAAGUGUGUCCAAAAAACUAAAGGAAACCAUGAUUAAACAAGUAAAGGUAGAAAUGAUAUGCAUCAAAUAGAGAAGAAUAAAAGGAUCCCAUCAAUAUAGGGAUAGAACUGUAAGAAAAUAGAAAUUCUAGAGUUAAAAACUACAAUAACUGAAAUGAAAAAUCCACUAGAGGUGCUCAAGAAUAGAUCUGAACUGGCAGAA
rnacentral:lncRNA from 1 species